GGUGACGCUGGCGGCGUGCCUAACACAUGCAAGUCGAUCGGAGCAGCAAUGCUUAGAGGCGAACGGGUGAGGAAAACGUAGUAACAACCCUUUAGACUGGGGAUAGCCACUGGAAACGGUGGGUAAUACCGGAUAAGCUCGAGAGAGGAAAGGCAGAGAAGCGCUAAAGGACGGAACUGCGCCCCAUCAGAUAGUUGGUGAGGUAAAGGCUUACCAAGUCAAAGACGGGAAACCGACGUGAGAGCGUGUACGGUCACAAGGGCACUGAGAGACGGGCCCUACUCCUACGGGAGGCAGCAGUGGGGAAUAUUGGACAAUGGACGAAAGUCUGAUCCAGCGACGCCGCGUGGAGGAAGAAGUCCUUCGGGAUGUAAACUCAUGAAGCUAACGAAUAAGACGGAAGGGGAACCUUCCGGGAGAAGGUAAUUAGUGAAAAGCCCCCGGCUAACUACGUG
rnacentral:rRNA from 1 species